rnacentral:rRNA from 1 species
UACAGGGGGUGCAAACGUUGCUCGGAAUCAUUGGGCGUAAAGCGCACGUAGGCGGUUCGUUAUGUCGGAUGUGAAAGCCCUUGGCUUAACCGAGGAAGUGCAUCCGAAACUGGCGAGCUAGAGUACGAAAGAGGAUCGCGGAAUUCCCGGUGUAGAGGUGAAAUUCGUAGAUAUCGGGAGGAACACCGGUGGCGAAGGCGGCGAUCUGGGUCGAUACUGACGCUGAGGUGCGAAAGCGUGGGGAGCAAGCAGG